AGCGAACGCUGGCGGCAGGCUUAACACAUGCAAGUCGAACGGGCGUAGCAAUACGUCAGUGGCAGACGGGUGAGUAACGCGUGGGAACAUACCUCUUGGUUCGGAACAACACAGGGAAACUUGUGCUAAUACCGGAUAAGCCCUUACGGGGAAAGAUUUAUCGCCGAGAGAUUGGCCCGCGUCUGAUUAGCUAGUUGGUGGGGUAAAGGCCGUACCAAGGCGACGAUCAGUAGCUGGUCUGAGAGGAUGAUCAGCCACAUUGGGACUGAGACACGGCCCAAACUCCUACGGGAGGCAGCAGUGGGGAAGUAUUGGACAAUGGGCGCAAGCCUGAUCCAGCCAUGCCGCGUGAGUGAUGAAGGCCCUAGGGUUGUAAAGCUCUUUUGUACGGGAAGAUAAUGACGGUACCGUAAGAAUAAGCCCCGGCUAACUUCGUGCCA
rnacentral:rRNA from 1 species